GAGGAAUGUGGCUCAGUCAGCUUUAGAAAACACAACUUGUCCCUUUUGACAACAUGAUUUUUGAGGAAGGCAUAUGCAUACAGCUUAACGUGAAAGGGAACCUGCAAAUGUCGUCACAAUCCAACUAAUGCACACAUAUGUACUGAAUUAAACCAAACAGAAAACUUUAAAAAUACCCAAUAAAACAAGUGGAAGAUUGCAAUAUGCAAAGAUAGUGCUAAAGCUGGCAUAGCUGAUCAUUUCCAUUACAGGUAGUAACAGGAAACUGCACUGCGUGCAUUGUACAUGCCCAGCCCUUCGUGUAACUGAUAAAUAAAAUCCCAAACAACAACCAGUUACAAUCACUGAGAAUUAAAUUUAAUCAAACCUGUUAACUGACAUUAAAAGUUGUUGUCUUGUAUUUUAAAAACAGCCAGGUUAUGGAGCACAAAUGUGAUACUUCCGGAUUCAGCAAGAGUUUCACAACAGCAUUUGUCAACCUUGAAGGAAAGUGUAUCCACACGUGAUACAGACAAGAUUAAGAACUCCUUUCUGCUAACUGGAGAGUCUAAUCGGCUCCAGAACCAGAACCACAACCAGCCCCAUGGAAGCAUUAAGUUCCUCUGAGAGGAGUUCAGCGGCAGCUAUCGGUUUUGCCAAGAAGUCAGGGGAGAAAGGCUGACAUUUCAAUCGUAUCAGUUAUGGACUCGCAAAACAGGCCCUCUAAACGAAAAAAUAAGGAAAGACUCAUCCCUGAUCCCUGCAGGAGGCUGUGCAGCUGCACCACGUUCUGCAGGAAGACAUGCUACGUGAGCUACCACCGCUCAGUGAGGUGGUGAGCCCCAACCUCGUAAAUCUAAGACUUCUAAGAAUUCUAUGUCAAAUAAAUAAAAUGCCAACAUAAAAAUCCUAA